rnacentral:lncRNA from 1 species
UUCAGAAAGAGUGGAUAAUCGUCAACCGUCUGAUCAAUGGCUAACUAACGAACAGGAGACCGUGGGUGACCCUUGACGCACGAUUUCCCUCUGGACUCUUCUCUUAUUUUUUUUCCCCCUCUCCCAAACAGGAGAUUUGAUGUGUCUGAUAUUUUUACAAAAGAAGAAAACGAGGCGGGAGGGGUGGCGUGCAAGUGCUACUCUGACUUCACAUCUGUCCCUUCCUGCAGCAGAAUUUGUCUCCCUUGAGUGGCUGUGAAUCCGGGAUUUGGGGAGCACCAAGAGAUUCUGAUGAGCCUCACCUCUACUCCAGGUGAGCCUCAAACCUCACCAAGACGUGCUGAACAUGGGAAAAAGGUGGUGAAACAAAGAUCCAGGAAAA